AACGAACGCUGGCGGCAGGCUUAACACAUGCAAGUCGAACGCCCCGCAAGGGGAGUGGCAGACGGGUGAGUAACGCGUGGGAAUCUACCCAUCUCUGCGGAAUAGCUCCGGGAAACUGGAAUUAAUACCGCAUACGCCCUACGGGGGAAAGAUUUAUCGGGGAUGGAUGAGCCCGCGUUGGAUUAGCUAGUUGGUGGGGUAAAGGCCUACCAAGGCGACGAUCCAUAGCUGGUCUGAGAGGAUGAACAGCCACAUUGGGACUGAGACACGGCCCGAGCUCCUGCGGGAGGCAGCAGUGGGGAAUAUUGGACAAUGGGCGCAAGCCUGAUCCAGCCAUGCCGCGUGAGUGAUGAAGGCCUUAGGGUUGUAAAGCUCUUUCACCGGUGAAGAUAAUGACGGUAACCGGAGAAGAAGCCCCGGCUAACUUCGUGCCAGCAGCCGCAGUAA
rnacentral:rRNA from 1 species